GGAUACGACACAGACAGGCAUCUGUACUGUGUGGAAAGUUUUUCGGCCAGGGAUGGACUCGCGGCCUAUCAGCUUGUUGGUGGGGUAACGGCCCACCAAGGCGACGACGGGUAGCCGGCCUGAGAGGGCGACCGGCCACACUGGGACUGAGACACGGCCCAGACUCCUACGGGAGGCAGCAGUGGGGAAUAUUGCGCAAUGGGCGAAAGCCUGACGCAGCGACGCCGCGUGAGGGAUGAAGGCCUUCGGGUUGUAAACCUCUUUCAGCAGGGAAGAAGCGAAAGUGACGGUACCUGCAGAAGAAGCACCGGCUAACUACGUGCCAGCAGCCGCGGUAAUACGUAGGGUGCAAGCGUUGUCCGGAAUUAUUGGGCGUAAAGAGCUCGUAGGCGGUCUGUCGCGUCUGGUGUGAAAAUCCAGGGCUUAACCCUGGACCUGCAUCGGGUACGGG
rnacentral:rRNA from 1 species